GGGAUUGCCCUAGUAACGGCGAGUGAAGCGGCAACAGCUCAAAUUUGAAAUCUGGCCCUAGGCCCGAGUUGUAAUUUGCAGAGGAUGCUUUUGGUGACGCGCCUACCGAGUCCCCUGGAAUGGGGCGCCACAGAGGGUGAGAGCCCCGUAUGGUUUGCCGCCGAGCCUUUGUAAAGCUCCUUCGACGAGUCGAGUAGUUUGGGAAUGCUGCUCUAAAUGGGAGGUAAAUUUCUUCUAAAGCUAAAUACCGGCCAGAGACCGAUAGCGCACAAGUAGAGUGAUCGAAAGAUGAAAAGCACUUUGAAAAGAGGGUUAAAUAGCACGUGAAAUUGUUGAAAGGGAAGCGCUUGUGACCAGACUUGUGCCGGGCGGAUCAUCCAGCGUUCUCGCUGGUGCACUCCGCCCGGCUCAGGCCAGCAUCGGUUUUCGCCGGGGGACAAAAGCUUCGGGAACGUAGCUCCCUUCGGGGAGUGUUAUAGCCCGUUGCAUAAUACCCCGGCGGGGACCGAGGACCGCGCUUCGGCAAGGAUGCUGGCGUAAUGGUCAUCAGCGACCCGUCUUGAAACACGGACCGAGGAGUCAAGCAUUAGUGCGAGUGUUUGGGUGUAAAACCCGCACGCGUAAUGAAAGUGAACGUAGGUGAGAGCUUCGGCGCAUCAUCGACCGAUCCUGAUGUUUUCGGAUGGAUUUGAGUAGGAGCAUUAACGCUUGGACCCGAAAGAUGGUGAACUAUACUUGAAUAGGGUGAAGCCAGAGGAAACUCUGGUGGAGGCUCGCAGCGGUUCUGACGUGCAAAUCGAUCGUCAAAUUUG
rnacentral:rRNA from 1 species